GACGAACGCUGGCGGCGUGCUUAACACAUGCAAGUCGAACGGAAAGGCCUCUUUCGGGGGGUACUCGAGUGGCGAACGGGUGAGUAACACGUGAGUAACCUGCCCUUGACUUUGGGAUAACUUCAGUAAACUGGGGCUAAUACCGGAUAGGAGCUCCUGCUGCAUGGUGGGGGUUGGAGAGUUUCGGCGGUUGGGGAUGGACUCGCGGCUUAUCAGCUUGUUGGUGGGGUAGUGGCUUACCAAGGCUUUGACGGGUAGCCGGCCUGAGAGGGUGACCGGCCACAUUGGGACUGAGAGACGGCCCAGACUCCUACGGGAGGCAGCAGUGGGGAAGAUUGCACAAUGGGUGGAAGCCUGAUGCAGCAACGCCGUGUGCGGGAUGACGGCCUUCGGGUUGUAAACCGCUUUCGCUCAUGACGAAGCUUUGUGUGACGGUAGUGGGUAAAGAAGCACCGGCUAACUACGUG
rnacentral:rRNA from 1 species